AACGCGAAGAACCUUACCUACCCUUGACAUGUACGGAAGCCUGCUGAGAGGUAGGUGUGCCCGAAAGGGAGCCGUAACACAGGUGCUGCAUGGCUGUCGUCAGCUCGUGUCGUGAGAUGUUGGGUUAAGUCCCGCAACGAGCGCAACCCUUGUCAUUAAUUGCCAUCAUUUGGUUGGGCACUUUAAUGAGACUGCCGGUGACAAACCGGAGGAAGGUGGGGAUGACGUCAAGUCCUCAUGGCCCUUAUGGGUAGGGCUUCACACGUAAUACAAUGGCCGGUACAGAGGGCUGCCAACCCGCGAGGGGGAGCUAAUCUCAGAAAGCCGGUCGUAGUCCGGAUUGUUCUCUGCAACUCGAGAGCAUGAAGUCGGAAUCGCUAGUAAUCGCGGAUCAGCAUGUCGCGGUGAAUACGUUCCCGGGCCUUGUA
rnacentral:rRNA from 1 species